GGAUGGGGGUUGUGUCCGUUCAGGUGAAGAGAACACACAUCUCUCUAUCUCUUUCAAAGACAGCUCUUCAAAAGAGACAAGUGUAUGAAUCUUUGAUGGUAACCUUUCCCAGAAUACCUCUCUCUCUCACGCUCUCUAUUUCAGCCCCUGGGCAACGGCAAGCACUGUAAUGCCUGAUGUCUGCAGGCACGGUCACAGAACUUAAAUGUGACUUUUCAUCCCGAACAAAAUCUUGAAAAUUAACCUCUUUGAAUGGAUAAAUGUCAAUUCUAUUGGAAGAAGACCAGCCUUUGGGAGAAAAUGUAAAUCUUUUAAUUUAAAGACAGCUGUGAGGAUGCGGGCAUAAAAAUUGUUGCUUAGUCUGCAUGAGCAUUGUGGAUCAGUGUUGUACCUUGCUGCUGUGUUACAGCUGAGCUCCAUAUCCAGACUAAACAAACCAUCGUAACACAACAGCUCUCAUCUUCAUUUACACAGGUGCUACAGUAUUUACAGAGAGACCUGUGCAAGCGGUUGCUUUAAUACUCUCGCGUUUCCACAUAUAGACACAUACGUCUGCAAAUAAGCGCUCCACCCUCUUUGCACGUUUCCUGCCGUGGCUUUGGAAUUAUAGCACAUUAUGCAAGUCUAUCAUAGACUCAGACAGUCUGAGCUGGGGUUAUGUGAUCCUGGAUGCAGCGAUGCAGAAAUGAUGGCUCCUUGCUUUCCAAACACUAGACUGCUUCUGAAGAUGGGCGGGUUUGCACACAUAAACCCACAUGCAUAAACAUACAGAGGUAAACACACCCACACACCUGCACAAUAAAUGAGGAUUCAACUGCGAUGAGCACGCUGGAAAUCUGAGCGAGCUUCCACCUGUACUGGCUGGAACACUUGAGAUCUGGAUGAGUCUUUGUUUGUGAAUGAAUCAUUUAGGCUAUGUCAAGAUUUUCAGUUACUUCUUACAUUUUUGUAACUAGAUCAGUUUUUUAACGCUCUUUUUACUAUUUAAAUGCAUCGAAUUCUCUCAUGCGAGUUCAGGUUAAAGGGUUAGGUCACUCAAAAAUGAAAAUGAACAUUUACUUCGAAGCAUCCUAGGUGUAUGUGACUUCCUUCUUCCAUACGAAUCUAAUCGGAGUUCUAUUAAAAAUUGUCCUCACGUUUCUAAGCUUUAUCGUUGCAGUAGGAGGAACAGUCUAAGACAUGUAAAAAAAGUGCACACAAACAUAACAGAAGGGAGAGGAAAGUGUUUAUUACAUUUGAAAUAUGAAUAUUUAUCUUGCAAAAAUGCAUGGAUCCGCUACAGGAGGCCUUCAUUCACCCCCUGGAGCCAUAUGAGCGAUGCUUUUAAUCAACCCAGGCUCAUUGGAAAAUGAGUCUCUACAUACAUUUCUGCAACCCAGUAGUUAUGUACCUUACUGCACGUUUUGCCUCAAUUUUAAAGUGAAAUGUCCUGAGAGUGCUGUUAAAUCACACUUUUAAUAUGUGACCGCACCACGUUUUUAUUGUAAUUUAAAUACGUAGUAAAUGUCGCUAAAGACUAAUGCUCUAUAAUGUUGUAAAUAUCCUCUAAACCACACUGGAAACUAACCUACCCAAUAGCAUUAACAAAUAAAUGUAAUGCAAAGUAAUGUAAAAACUGAUUUGCUGAUUCAAUCAUCCUAUUUUAACUUCUUUGUGCUAAUUUGAGUUGUUUAGUUGAACCUUGAGUUUGAACCGGAGGUUUUCACCAUCUAAGUGCAACACCGUAUCACGUGAGCUACCGAAUAAACCUACUGAACUAGAAAACUCACACAUAUACGUACUGUAUAUGUGACGAUAAUGUUUAAAAGUAUUUUUUUUUGUAAUUGUGCAGGAUGUUAAAAUUGUUUUGAAGUCAUAGCAUACCA